rnacentral:rRNA from 1 species
UCCAGACUCCUACGGGAGGCAGCAGUGGGGAAUAUUGCACAAUGGGGGGAACCCUGAUGCAGCGACGCCGCGUGAGUGAAGAAGUAUUUCGGUAUGUAAAGCUCUCUCAGCAGGGACGAAGAUGACGGUACCUGCAGAAGAAGCCCCGGCUAACUACGUGCCAGCAGCCGCGGUAAUACGUAGGGGGCAAGCGUUAUCCGGAUUUACUGGGUGUAAAGGGAGCGUAGACGGCAGGGCAAGCCAGAAGUGAAAACGCAGAGCUUAACUUUGCGACUGCUUUUGGAACUGCCCAGCUAGAGUGCAGGAGAGGUAAGUGGAAUUCCUAGUGUAGCGGUGAAAUGCGUAGAUAUCAGGAGGAACACCGGUGGCGAAGGCGGCCUGCUGGACUGCGACUGACGUUGAGGCCCGAAAGCGUGGGGAGCAAACAGGAUUAGAUACCCCAGUACA